GGGCGAUUUUGUAUUUCGAGGGCAACCUGGAGACUAAAGUUUUCAGUGACCCAAUUUCUGGACUUGUUAGGCGCAUAAGGGAAGUUGCUCUCCGUGCAGAUGGUCGUCUUGUGUUUCUUGGCGACGUAACCAAGGCUGCUGAAACCGAGCAAGGAGGGCUCAGAAGCGUUGGCUAAGAACAAUCAUCCAGUUUUCCAAGGUGAAAUAAAGCACAGUACGACUUCAUUUCUUUAACCCGUAUCACAACUUCAGUACUGUGAUGAAAUGAAUUGGAGUAUGGAUGUCAAUAGAAUUGGAGGAGGUGAGGGGAAUGCUUCUUCCGUUACUUUUAUCUUUUA